UGGGGAAUAUUGGGCAAUGGGCGCAAGCCUGACCCAGCAACGCCGCGUGAAGGAAGAAGGCUUUCGGGUUGUAAACUUCUUUUCUGAGGGACGAAGAAAGUGACGGUACCUCAGGAAUAAGCCACGGCUAACUACGUGCCAGCAGCCGCGGUAAUACGUAGGUGGCAAGCGUUAUCCGGAUUUAUUGGGUGUAAAGGGCGUGUAGGCGGGAGUGCAAGUCAGAUGUGAAAAACUAUGGGCUCAACCCAUAGCCUGCAUUUGAAACUGUACUUCUUGAGUGCUGGAGAGGCAAUCGGAAUUCCGUGUGUAGCGGCGAAAUGCGUAGAUAUACGGAGGAACACCAGUGGUGAAGGCGGAUUGCUGGACAGUAACUGACGCUGAGGCGCGAAAGCGUGGGGAGCAAACAGGAUUAGAUACC
rnacentral:rRNA from 1 species